CUCCUCUUGUCCCCCCACAAUCAGGAGAUAAAGGGCAAGAAGAUCUCACAAGCUAUUUUCUUGAAGCACUUCUAAAAUACAUAGUCAUUCAGAGAGCAGCUGCUAGUUUAGUAUCCAGAGAAGAA
rnacentral:sRNA from 1 species